ACCGACUUAGCUAUGAUAAUUUGGCUAAUCUUAGACCAAUGACCAUCGGCAUAUCAGAGUUACCGAUCGAUGCUCAUUUGGAUCUCCACAACUACUACCGACAUAUAAUCAUUAUUAUCGACAUAUAGUCGGCUUACUUGAAACUGCCAGUGCAGGAAGAGCGUAAUGGCCAGAACAUGAUCAGUGACGAGUAUAACCAC
rnacentral:lncRNA from 1 species